rnacentral:misc_RNA from 1 species
AAUUCUCAAACUGGGAUGCUUUUUUGUUUCUCGGCUUGGUGUUGGGCUUUGCAGUUCCUUUGAUUGGGAUGGCUGGCCUCAAAAGCAUUAGCUGGCUUUUCAUGUGGCAUUGGUUCUACUCAGCGUGAUAAUGAUCUGACCGCCGAGGACAUCUUUCGAGAUGGCCAAUUCUCAUUUGGGCUGCUUCUAAUUUUGGUAGAGCGGAUUCUGAAUCUGUUCCACUUUUUCAAC